GGAGGGGGCUAGCGUUGUUCGGAAUUACUGGGCGUAAAGCGCGCGUAGGCGGGCUGGUUAGUUGGGGGUGAAAUCCCGAGGCUCAACCUCGGAACUGCCCUCAAUACUGCCAGUCUUGAGUUCGAGAGAGGUGAGUGGAAUUCCUAGUGUAGAGGUGAAAUUCGUAGAUAUUAGGAAGAACACCAGUGGCGAAGGCGGCUCACUGGCUCGAUACUGACGCUGAGGCGCGAAAGCGUGGGGAGCAAACAGGGAUUAGAUACCCUGGUAGUCCACGCCGUAAACGAUGGGUGCUAGUUGUCAGGCAGCUUGCUGUUUGGUGACGCAGCCAACGCGUUAAGCACCCCCCGGCCUGGGACUACGGUCGCAAGACUA
rnacentral:rRNA from 1 species